rnacentral:rRNA from 1 species
UACGUAGGGGGCGAGCGUUGUCCGGAUUCAUUGGGCGUAAAGAGCUCGUAGGCGGUUCGGUAAGUCAGGUGUAAAAACUCCAGGCUCAACUUGGAGAGGCCACCUGAUACUGCCGUGACUAGAGUCCGGUAGGGGAGCGGGGAAUUCCUAGUGUAGCGGUGAAAUGCGCAGAUAUUAGGAGGAACACCGGUGGCGAAGGCGCCGCUCUGGGCCGAUACUGACGCUGAGGAGCGAAAGCGUGGGUAGCAAACAGG